UGUUUCCGAUGGAUCCCCGCGCCCCUCCGCUAAUUCCCUAACCAAAGGAAAAGGGAAGAGCGCCGGGGAGGUCUCGGUCAGUGUUCGGAGGGAACUGGCUUCGAGGGGUCCCUGAGAACGCCAAGACCCCGCGAAAUAGGGUGUACCUACUCCCAGCAGCCGUCUCUUUCGAGGCACACGGAUAAAUUGGCUGGACCUCCCUGCCGACCCGGCGGGCGGGGCUGCAGCAGCGCAGAGCCGCCUCCAGAGCGGCCGCAGCAGCGCGAGCAGGACGCGAACCCAGGUGCGGCCGUGCGGCUCCGCGGUGAGCAGGUGAGCCCGCGGUGAGCCGGUGAGCCCGCGCCCGGGUCUGAGAGUGAUCCAGCUCUGUUUUGGAAAAUUGAAGAACCAUCAACGUUUUGCUGAAAAUGUUGACAAGGUUAAGAGCAAAGACAGGCCCCUGGAGCUCUAAUCGAAAGCCCCACUAACAGCACUGAAGCCACUGACCAGCAGAGCACAGGGACAUGGCUUCCCCGGAGGCACGUCCAGCCCUCAGCCCUCACGUGCCCCUCGGCAUUCAUCAUUUCAUUCCAUACAGACCUCACCGUCAUCAAAGACUGCGUAUUCCCCUGGCCGGCGGACUCUGUAAUGCCAGUGUGAUGAGAGAGAGGUCCAUGUGACACUGUCAUUCUGCUACUUCUGCAAAUGUUGCUCUUGCUUACUUUUAUUUUAAAGAUAUUCUCUUUUUUUAAUUUUUAAAAGAUUUUUUUUCAAAGUAACCUCUACAUCUAAUGUGGGGCUCAAACAGAACUCUGAGAUCAAGAGUCACAUGCUCUACCGACUGAGCCAGCCAGGCGCCCCUAUUUUAAAGAUAUUCUCAUUUUUCUUACACAAAUGCAAGAGGCAGGACUGCUGGGCCCUAGGUUUCCACAGUGGCUGCACCAAAUGAACGUUGCCAGCAGCAGAGCACAAGAGCUCCCUUCUCUCCACAUCCUCGCCGGCACCGGUUGUCUCUUGUCUUUUUGAUGACAGCUGCUCUCACAGUUUCUAAGAAGCAAAUAUUUCUACUGCUCCAGAUAGAAAGAAACAAAGUUACGCAGCCAUGGGAAUCCACUUUGGAAAACAAAUGAAUCCAGGAGACUCCCCCGUGAUGACAUAGCCCUCGGUGGGAAAUCAGGUGAUGAAGUGGAGUGCCAGCAGAAACAAUGUGGCUUUCAUGAAAUAAGGGAACUGGAACCUUCUUAAUUCCAAUAUCAGCCUCUGGUCCACAUAUUUCCAUCGUUUCGCAAGGAGGGCAUUUAUUGGACAUUUUAUUUUAAAAUAAUGUCUACAUCCCACUUGGGGCUUGAACUCACAAUUCCAAGAUCAAGAGUCACGUGCUCUACUGACUGAGCCAGCCAGGUGCUCCAGGCUAUCUUUCUUUAACCUCACAAAAGUGCCUCCGUUUAUCCAGACCCACCCUAGACCUCAAGCCAGGAAGAUGUGAAGAGGAGUCCAUCCUCAAAGCCUGCAGACACAGAAAACAAGGUGUUAGGAUGCUCUGAAAAUGGCAUAAACCUUAUCAAGGAGAUUAAGCAGGGAGGUAAG